CUCUAAGAAAUGACUUUUUUCAUCACAUAUGUACAGAAAACAAUAACUUUAAUAAUUUAAAUGAAGAAGAAAAAAUUCAUUAUUUACUAAAUCCAUCAUCACCUUUACAAACAAAUAAGAUAGGACUUCUUGAAAAAGACAUUAGAACUGAGGGCAGGGGACUCUUAACAACUUGUUUGUUGUUAUAAAUUUUAAUGCUGUUGAUAUUUUGUAUGUUUAAUAUGUAUGUAUUUAUGUUUAUUGUGUUUAUUGUAUUAAUAUAUGUUGGUCACAAACUGUAAAGUUUAUAUGACAAUAAAAUAUUUGAUUGAUUGAUUGAUAAAAGCUUUAGAUAUUUAACAUAUAUAAAUGACAAAUGAGAUACAGACUUUUGAAUUUAAACAUGAACAUUUUGAAUAAAAUAUAUGGUUAAUUUCAAUGUCAAUGAAAUGAUAGCCAAAAAAAUAAAAAAUACAAGGUACAACAAAAAAACAUUUGCCAGUUGGCAGAUAUCAUCCAACAUAUCUUAUAUUUAAACACCAAUAAAAUUAACAAAUCUAAAUGAAAUACUGUAAACCAACUAAUUUUCAUGAGCAAUUAAUUUUUAGCAAGUAGAGAAAUAUUCCUGUACGAAAUUAUAAGGCGUAUUACGCCUGGAAAUAAGGCGUAUUACGCCUGGAAAUAAGGCGUAUUACGCCUGGAAAUAAGGCGUAAACCAGGCGUAAGUGGUAGUUACGUGUCUAGAUCCAGGCGUAAGGGAGCAGGAAACGUAAACUUGUAGUCCUUACGGGCGUAGAAAAAAGUGGUAAACCUGGCCUAAAUUGAAAUAAGCAAGGCGUAAAUUUUCUUACGGGCGUAAAUCUGUUGGUAUGGCUUAAAUAAUAAUACCCAUUAUGCUUUGUUUAAAGGAUCAUGGGAUUUUUUUUUUCAAAAUUUGGCUCUUUGGUUUUAGUUUGCAAGAGUGAAUGGAUAUAUAUUCAAGGAUAAUUAGCUUGUUUUGUGCUUUUUGUAAGAAUUUGAAAUUAGAAUUAUGGAAUCAAAUUGAUUAAUGAAAAUUGUGAAAUAAAAGGAAAGUAAGUAUGCAUGGUAAAUAAUAAUUAAGUUAUUAAGUUUUAUGUUUCAUCAGAAAUUUUGAAAUCCCAAAACCUUUAUUUUUGGAUA
rnacentral:lncRNA from 1 species